rnacentral:lncRNA from 1 species
CAGGAGGGGGCCAAGGUCAAGGUCCUGGUGUUGGGACAGCCCUCUGGCUCCACUCCUCCGCGAAGGCUCCGAGAGCGCAGUACUGGGCUUUUAACACACUUUGGAUGCUAAAUUGAGUGUUAAACUGCGCCUCGUUCCCCCGCAGCGGCGCCGGGUGGUUCCACGGUCGCGUUAAGACAACUCCCGCGAGCUGGGACACGGCAUAGCCACUGUGGAACAGACAGCACGGAUGUGCAGGCCAUGUCUGACACAGGGGGUUCUAAUUUCCAGGGCCACCACGCCUACCUUAUGGAGUAGCAAGAGUUCUCUGCCCUCCAUUACACCUUUUUAUUAAUACACAGUGUGUAUACUCUAGCCUUCUCAGUUUACUAACUACCAGCAUCCACUUGAACACCAGCCAAAGCAUUACAACUCUUCAAGUGGUUGUUGUAUCUCCUCUGAACUCAACACUUUCACUCAUUUGUUUCUCCUUGUUGUUGUGGAAUUGCAGGAUAUGUGAAAAAGUAGGACUGGAGGAGAGAGAGAAAAAAUGAAGCUCAGUCAUCCAGAAUAAUGGUGUCCUUCACUCCGCUUUCAGUCUGCCCUUUUGAAUUUGCAGCUACCAUGUUUGAUUACAAAAAGUUAUCUUCAGAUCAUCUGCGUGGUUAUUUCACAUAUUCUGACAUAAUCCAAGAAAACAACAGAUGGCAAUUUCAUCCAAGUGGGUGUUAUCCACUAGGACUGCAGAAGAGGAGCUUGUUUUCCAGUAACUUCCUGCCUUUCAGGUUAAAAGUUACAGAACCUACUGCAGUGCUCUAAUGUGAGUCUCAAAUGCAGGUGGACCUUCUGUUGGCUGCUCAAACUUCGGUGACGUUUCUGUUUGCUCAGGUUAGAGCAAUACUAGGCAACCCAGGAUAUGCACUGUCACCACAUAAAGCAUCAAUACCUUGUUGAGAUGAGGAAGACUUUUGUACUAGAUCUGGGAGGACUGUGGUGAAUGAACCCCAGACAACACCUGAACACCUACACAGCUACUCACUUAUUCCCCUCUUGCAUGACACAAUAAUAAUAAACAUAUACAAGAAUAAACAAGUAUUUAUGUUGGAAUUGGCACUUGGCCAAGGUCAAUCCACCACAUAAAGUGGGACUGACCAACUUUAUGUGUUGGUCAGUCGUACUAAAAUCCUUUAUUUCACCUACUUGUCAGGAGGACUUUGUAUGUUGAUCAAUCUGUUGAAUUAAAAGAUUGCUAAAUAAUUGUUUACAAACCCUGAGAGCUAUAAAAGCAAUCUGAAAUACUGCUAUCAUUAAAUAUAUUUUGCACUACACAUUUCUUCUGUCAAGAAACAGAAAGAGUCUAAACGGCUCUUUCUCAUGGACUUGUUAAUAAUGAGAAAUCUUUACAGAACCAAGCAGUAGGGUUUGUGAAAUACAGAUGUCAUAUUUUUAUUGGCAACCUUUUGCCUGAGCUAACACACUUAGCAAGGAAUUAAAAUUAAAUCUUGUAUUUCCUGAUCCUGAUGAGGGAGUAAGAGAAGUAAGAAUGCUGAUUUACUUACACACACAUGCAGGAAUAAAAAGUUCACUAUGUUUAGUUGUCUAAACACUUUUCCCGUUUGUUCCCUUUAAUUUUUUUGGUAAUUUCAAGUGCAAUAGUUUCUUCAGUUUGUCUCCCUCUAGUGGAUUAACCCUUUUGUGUGUCAGCAGAUACUUUAUUUUCAAUUCUUAAUUUUUCCAUUGCUGGUAGUGUGUGGCUACAAUGUUAUUAUUAUAAUUGACUAACCUAUACACAGCAAUGACUCUUUUUCAUUCCUGAUGACUUCAUCUUUUAAGAUUAUAUUUGUUCCUAUUGCCUCAGGUAUCAGCCGUCUGGGCUACAAUUCAUGCCAAGUAUUCUCAAACCUCUUCUCAUCUAAAAAAAAUACAAUUAUACUGUAUUGCUUUUUGGUCAUUCUUCUGUCUUCUAGAUGAGUUCAGGGACUGGAUCAGUAGAGGCCUAUGUAAAGCAGGCUUUUAAGUUGUCUAUGGUGAAACAAAAUAAAGCUAGGCACAGUUAAAUCAUGUCACAAAUAUGGAAUUCCUUGUGUAAGCCUCCAGCAAGUAUCAUCUUUCAGCAACAUAGAUAUAUUCUAUUGUUUGAUGAAUAUGAGAUAAUAUGGUCUUAUUUUUCAAAGGAUCCAUAUGUAGUUUGGGGAAGAAUAUAUUUAAUUAUAAAAAACAUAGAAUCUGUCUUGGGUUUAUUUGUAUCAUCUGCAUUAUGAUCUUAGUGUUUCUGUGAUGGACCAGAGCCCUUGUGUGUUUAACACCUAUAAACCACAGCAAAAAGGCUUAUUUCCUGCCGCAAAGAUCUUACACUACAAAAGGUACAGCAGCUAAAAAAGUGGACUCAGCAAAGAGAAGGUGGGAAUGGAAGAAGGCAAUAAGAACUUAUAGCUGAACUGUUGCUGAAUAUUAUUAGUAUUAGCACAGGCUGCCAAACAUCUUUGUGACUGCUGUAUUUUAUAGGCAAAGAAAAGGUUGCAGGUUUACAAAAGUGGAUCUGAAGAAGGAAAAUCUCAUGACCAUUGGUACUGCUGGGUCUGAAGGGGCACAACUCUUCCAGAGCAGAAGUUUUUUCCUGUGAAUACAUUCGACUUAUACUGUUGAUUUUCUUGCCUUUUGUGCUCAUCCCAGAUAGCACUGCUGUUCAAGUAGGACAUAACAUAGAUUCUGUUGUAAUCAAGCAAUUAGCUGCACAAUUAAAUCUGAAGUUAGAUAAGUGGUGUGAGCUAAGCUCCAAAACUGCUUGUGAAGUUACUUCCAGGUUUAUUUGUUCCCUACUCAGUGGACUCCCACCUUCCCUUCUUCAACUCCCUUCUAAUACUUGUGGGAAUAAUAAUUAAGAACAAUAGCAAUAAAUCUCACUGUCAAGUUCCUGCAUACUGAGAUACUAAGCUACCACACUUUAACUUGGGCCUGUACCCUCACACAGCAGUGAGCUGAUUCAUCUUGCACCAGCUUAGAGAGGGGAGGGAGGAGCUCAUACCCAUCCCCACUCCCCUUUUUAUGUCUACUUUGGAAGGGAUUUCAGGGGUUGAUCUAGAUUGACAAAUUGUGUAAGAGGCAUUAGUACCUUCCCUUCCUUACCUACUGUACUACCUGCUUCCAUAGCACACAACAUAGUGGUAAUUAGAUUGUCAACCACUCUGUGCAACAGAAAACACAGCCAAAGCACUCUCAAGUUUUAAUAAAAAAAAUCCGCUCUACCGUGAACUUGUAUAUUGUUCUGCUUGGACCGAUUCUGCUAACGCCUACCCACUUGAGUAACUGUAUUCAAUCUUUGAAAUCAAAGUAUGACUGACUAGUUGCAUGCAAACUGGGUUAAGCCCUUAAAUUCUGAGCUUUUGAAGACAAAAUUGCAUCUGACAUGCUUUGCACUGCCCUUGAACUACUUCAGCAUACUAUGAAGUAAGGAAGUAAAAGUAGAAAUGGAGGCAAGGCUUUUAAGAUGUCCUUCAACUGACCUUCAGACAAAACCAACAAUGAACACUGGGAGAAAAUUUGUCAAUGAAGAGGAAUAUUGUCCCUAGUGUAAACAAAAGCUCCACAAUCCCAUUUAAGCAUUCUUAGAACAUUAAUCCGUUUAAGAUAUUAGGACAGCAAAGGACCAUUGCUGAGGACAGCAAGUGAAAGUCAAGAUGGGUUGGGUUACUCUGUCCAACUCAGACAGAUAUCAUAUUUCAAUUCUGAAAAUACAUUCAGAGGAAUUUGAGAUCUUUUCUUAUUUAAGAGUCUCCAUUGUGGACUUUAAAAGUGUUUAUUUUACCAUACAGACACUUGUAAAAGAAAGGAAGAAAAUCCACCUCCUAAUGUAUGAGCUAACCAGGUACUGCAUUAGUUUAAUCUCCUCAUAAUUGCCCUUUUCACAUUUCUUUCACUUCUCAUAAAAUUGGAUCUUCCCAGACUGUCUGAUAAAAUUAUAUAGCCAGCUACAGUACAUCAAAGAGAACAAGUGAAAGUAAGUUUCAUACCUGCACACACUGAAAUUCUGGUUGACCUAAAAAGAAAGAUGUUUUUGUAUCCUGCCUCUUCUUUGGAAUCUAUUCUUGGUUCAUGCAGUUAAUGUUUCUAAUUUUCAAUUUGAACUGUUUCAUCUGAACGUAAUGGAGAAGUAAAACAAGGAGCUGAAACAACAGUCAGAUUGCAUAAACUUUGUCUUUGCCUAUUGUGUAAAAGACAAUGCUGCUGUAUUGAAAACACUAAGAGAAUUCUAGGGAAGUUGGAGUUUCCCUGGAGGACCUGCGUUACGUAGUCUUGUCCUGAGAAAGUAAAAAUCAUACUUCACUUCAGAUGUGGACUUUACGAGAGAUGAAUGACAAACAUUUUCAAGGUCUUUUCUUUUAGAAAGAAAAUCUUAUCAUGGCCUCAUGGCAGCUGGCUUGGCUUUUUCUUUGUUUUAAUUUCUUACCAGUUUUUUAGGCCAUUCUUUAAAAACAGAUUUAAUCAAUUUUCAGUUUAAAAUUCCCAAAAAAAAGUAAUCUCAUUCAUUCUAAUUUAUAUUAAACACAAGAGAUUAUAUUAAUACAACUCUGUGGGAUUUCAAAUCUCAGACCAGAUCAUUUAGAGCUAUUUUAAAUCUGCAUUGUCGUGCAUGUAUAGCCUGUGAAGGUUUUAAUUCAGUGUUCAUGUAAUGCUAAUACAGUCAUGACAUGUGGGCCACAAUGCCUCUUCCCACAGAUGACAGCACAGAAGG